UUUCUCCUGGAGCGCUGAUACCGCGCUAAGGCAAAACCAGUCUCUGUGCGAGAGUUUCCUCAAAGAGUCCGUCGGAGAAUAUCGGAACACAACUUGUUACAGCCAAAGAGAUUCACAGCUUCCUGAAGGGCUACGCUUUCGGGGAGUUCAAAGGAUUUAUGGAGCGAGAGGCCUGGAGAAGACCCUUUCUGAAUCCCAAACUCAUAAAUAAUAGCCUCCUGUAAUAAAUAAGGUAAUAAUAGCUAA